UUUAGCAGAGACUAUAGACAAGGAACACAAGAGACUUCUUGCUCGAAAAUCAAUUAUUGAGAAACGUAAAGAAGAGCAUGAGCGACAGUUACUUGAAAUGGUAACCUGCUUACUCUUGACUUGAUUCUGUUGCUUCAAUGCUUGAAUGCUCACAUACUCUACUCCAUUGCUGUGAGUCAUUCUCAUUUAAUUUUCAUUUUUUCUCAAAGGAACGUGAGGAGGAGUCAAGGAGGCUAAAGCUGCAGAAGAUAACUGAGGAGGCAGAGCAGAAGAGGCUUGCAUCUGAGUUUGAGCAAAGGAAGAAUCAAAGGAUCCUCAAGGAAAUAGAAGAAAGGGAACUUGAAGAAGCACAGGCCUUGCUUCAGGAAGCUGAAAAACGCAGUAAAAAGAAGGGAAAGAAGCC
rnacentral:lncRNA from 1 species